rnacentral:tRNA from 1 species
UAGGAUAGAGUGUGUGGGGUAGCACGGAGAAAUUUGGAUUCUCAGGGGUGGGUUCGAUACCCACAGUCC